GGCGGCGGGGGAGGCCUGUGGGCAGCACAAAAUGCCGUCAGGAGGCUCGAAACGGGCCCGGUGGCAACUGGCGUCGGGAGAAACGACCCAGAAAAGUGCUGGAGCCUCUCCAGGAACAGAUUGGUGACAGAUUCCUGGAAGAAGGGGAAGCUCGCGAAAUGAUAAGGUUGGGAGUGGUUGGAGAGCGAAAGCCCCCAAAGGCGCCUCGUUAAAGCUCCGAGACAAGAUGCUGACGGUUCCCUCCGAAUCUGGCGGCCGUGGCGCAGGCGACAUAUGGCGUGAGAAGAGGAGCCGAUGGCAACAGAUUUUUUGGUUCAUUUUGAGAGAGAAACACGGAUAAACACAGGCUUUUGCUGUUUAAAAA